CAGCUCGCUCACUCUUUUCCUCUUCCAUUUUUUAGGGCAAUUGUUUUGUUUGAUAGACGAAGCUUGGGGUCUCUUUGGGUUUGCAACCCUUACCCUCCUGGAAAAAAUCAUAGUUGCUAGACUGCGACACUUCAGACCAGGUACGAUUAGAGCCGCUAAUGGACGACGAGCUAUUUUCCGCUAUCCGGAGCUCAAGCAUUUGAGCCGCUAAAUGGACGAGACUCCUGGGGUAAAGGAUGCAGAGAAUGAGGAGAAAACACUCGUAUGGAGCAGGGAGUAGGUAUUGUACUACUUCCUGGUAUGGAGCACUGAGAAGCGCAUUAGGCGAUUUGAUCGCAGGACGAGAGAGGAGCUGAUGGACGAUCUGUCCAGUGUCCCUCUUGGUUCGGAGCAGCGCCGAGUGCUGACGUUGGGACUUGGUAACCACCGCUGUAGUAUGGGCAAAGGUGUGUUCACUGGGGAGUUGAUCCGUAUCCGUCGGUCUUCGACCCUUGACCACCACGGUCUUCGACCCUUGACCACCACUACGAAGCUGCUGCCGAGCGGCCGAAGCAGGCUUUCCGGGCCCGUGUAUACAAGCGCUCCAUCUUUCAUCUUUCAGACCCGCUCACUAGGAAUGGAUACGCAGGGAAGAGUUCUAGCAUCCGUAGCUGCCUCAGGGGGUGCCACUUCUCCCAUCAGCGUCGACUAAUCCGCCGAAAAUGUGCUCGCGCAUUAGAAGGAGGUGAAAGAUGCACCUGCAGGAGAAUACAUGCUUAAGAGAAGGCAGAAACAUGCCCGGAUCCACCAGAACUAGUGCUGGCAAGUCAACAGAGGCGAGUACUGAUAAUGUUCCAGAUUGUGGUAGGAUCACAUAAGCAAAAUUGACACUGGGAGGCACGGCGGUGGGUCAGCUCAUGGCCAGCGCCAGCUCCAGUGGAUAUCACGUGCAUCCAGUUCUAGUACUAUAGUAUGACUGCUACAAAGUAGUGCGGCCCAAAUAGAACUCGGGUCAGGUGCCGAAGAACUGGGGGGGGGGGGGGGGGGCAUGUGUCAAUGAAUGGUAAUAACUCCGGAAAUCAUGCUGGUGUAUCGAGGGCGUGGGCCAAUGAAGUGCUGGAUUGAUGGUGGACGACUGUACUGCAAUCUUGGCUGGUCCCACUAUCGCAGAGACAGCACUUCCUGGUGCAACCACCCUAUCCUGCAAUCUAUAUAAUAAUUAUUAUAAGAGAUUUGUGUGAACGAUUUUAGCAUGAUGCAAGUCAGCUUAUUGUGCUGGGGGCCUGGCUACAUGUCACUAUAGCUUUUUAUAGACUCGAUCACCGCAUUACGCUGCCUUGCGUUGACUUGAUUGAGCACUCUUUUCGGUUAGUGUCAAAGGUAUAUGUAAUAUGUAUCUGCCUCCGUGCAAAGCUCUCUUUGUGCGUGUCUUGCAGAUAGCUCGCUGACUUUGAUGCUUUGAGCCAUUUUCAAAUUGCUUUUUUUGUUCAUUUCAUAUAGACCGUAUUGCCAUUUGUUUAACCUCC